rnacentral:rRNA from 1 species
UACCCUGGUAGUCCACGCCGUAAACGAUGUCGACUUGGAGGUUGUGCCCUUGAGGCGUGGCUUCCGGAGCUAACGCGUUAAGUCGACCGCCUGGGGAGUACGGCCGCAAGGUUAAAACUCAAAUGAAUUGACGGGGGCCCGCACAAGCGGUGGAGCAUGUGGUUUAAUUCGAUGCAACGCGAAGAACCUUACCUGGCCUUGACAUCCAGAGAACUUAGCAGAGAUGCUUUGGUGCCUUCGGGAACUCUGAGACAGGUGCUGCAUGGCUGUCGUCAGCUCGUGUUGUGAAAUGUUGGGUUAAGUCCCGCAACGAGCGCAACCCUUAUCCUUUGUUGCCAGCGAUUCGGUCGGGAACUCAAAGGAGACUGCCGGUGAUAAACCGGAGGAAGGUGGGGAUGACGUCAAGUCAUCAUGGCCCUUACGGCCAGGGCUACACACGUGCUACAAUGGCGCAUACAAAGAGAAGCGACCUCGCGAGAGCAAGCGGACCUCAUAAAGUGCGUCGUAGUCCGGAUUGGAGUCUGCAACUCGACUCCAUGAAGUCGGAAUCGCUAGUAAUCGUAGAUCAGAAUGCUACGGUGAAUACGUUCCCGGGCCUUGUACACACCGCCCGUCACACCAUGGGAGUGGGUUGCAAAAGAAGUAGGUAGCUUAACCUUCGGGAGGGCGCUACC